rnacentral:lncRNA from 1 species
GGACAGUUGGUGCAGGAAGAACGCAGCAGUAUCAGCGCACUCCAUCCCGGGGAUCUGAAUGCAUUUGCGGAGAGAACAGGGAAAUAAGAGGGGCCUUUGUGCAACACCAGAUGUUCAUGUCCUAGAAGCACGUGGCGGAGCACGUCCUGGGAUCAAGGUGCCAUGGACUGGAAAAUGCAGCUCUGGACAUACAGGCUUGGCGGAGUUCCUGUGUGAAGACAAAACUCCCAGUACUCCAGA